AUUGAACGCUGGCGGCAGGCCUAACACAUGCACGUCGAACGAGUGGCGGACGGGUGAGUAAUGUCUGGGAAACUGACCGAUGGAGGGGGAUAACUACUGGAAAAGGUAGCUAAUACCGCAUACCAUCGGAUGUGCCCAGAUGGGCUUCGCUAGGCGGUGGGGUAAUGGCUCACCUAGGCGACGCUCCCUAGCUGGUCUGCGAGGAUGACCAGCCACACUGGAACUGAGACACGGUCCAGCCUCCUACGGGAGGCAGCAGUGGUGAAUAUUGCACAAUGGGCGAAAGCCUGAUGCAGCCAUGCCGCGUGUAUGAAGAAGGCCUUCGGGUUGUAAAGUACUUGCAGCGGGGAGGCGUUACCCGCAGAAGAAGCACCGGCUAACUCCGUGCCAGCAGCCGCGGUAAUUC
rnacentral:rRNA from 1 species